GAAUUCAACAUUUAAUUACAGUGAAUUCUCGCCUCAAAUCCACUCCCAGAAGUCUGAAUUAGCAGACCUUCUUUUUUCCUCUUUGCUCACAUGGAGGUUCUCCAUCUUUCCCUUUUCUUGCUGCACAACAUCCCAAAUUUUGAAGGCUACAAGAGAAGCCUUACCAUUUUGGGGUAACUCUCUGCAAAAAAUCAAAAAGCUCUGCUGAGUUCGUCCAGAAUCCCCAACGUUAAAAUUCAAACGACUCCAUUUCACCUCUUUUGGGGGAAAUCUGAAUUUCAAACCCAAAUCAAGAACCCUAGAUUUUCACGUAUAAACACUAGCACUUGGAGUCCAUCUGGAUAGAGGUUGGAGGCCACAACUUUACCCCUCAAAUUUUACUAUUCGUUUAGCUAGAAAUUUCAUAAAAGCUUUAGCCCCUCUUUGCUUUUAGUUUUAGUUUCAUAAAACUUCGGCUUCGGUGAGAAAGGAGUAAAUGCUAGACAGCCGCCCUAGUUUACUGCUCCGAUAGAGGUUGUCGAGAUUGAUUUUCACGUGCCCGUUAAUUCUAUGUUUUGGCACGUGAGUCGAGGUAGUAUCCCGUAAAGUUUCAAAACGGUUGGCACCGUAUUCCCAGGCCUCGAUAACUUUAUGACUUGCCAAUGCUAAAAAAAAUUAGAGUAUUUUCAUGUCAAUUGACUACCAUAUCCUUAUAUCCAAAUACCAGCAAAUUAUUUUUUUUUAAUUAAAAUCUCACAUCUUUGGCCUCUCUUAGACAUUGUAAUAUUACAAGACCCGAUCUCGUCGGUUUCUUAGGCAUACAUUCCCAAAUAUUCUACCAUUAUCCUUUAAUAUUUAUCUACUCCAUAGUGACUAUAUAUACCUUUUUCCAAAAGAAAUUGACUUGAGUUGAACAUCAAAGCAACACAAGUUCAAGGACAAUAUGGCCAACCAAAUCACAGUGAUUGACCUAGAUGCAGAUGAGUUUGAGUACAAGAAAUACAAAUCAUACAAAGAUAAGAUUGCUAGGCUUGAAGCAAAAGUGGCAAAUGGGGCAAGAAAUUAAUGGCGUCAAGGAAGUGAUAGAUGAUCUUAAGAACCCGUUCAACGAAAAAGGCAUCUCCAUUUCGUACAGCUGCAUCUCCCACUUAUGAGUGUAAUGCCUAGUUUUUCCAAAUCUGCACUCUUUCUUGCUAGAAAGGGCAUUCUAAGCUGCCAACAAUGUGUAUGAAGAAGAAGCAUGAUUAACAAGAUAACAAAAAAUUGAAAGAUUAUCAUUCCCCACCCACCUUCCCUUAUUUUGGAUGCGCAUGCAACCUAUGUAAGGCUUAGUCUCAUUAUAGCAAAAAACUGGGGCAGAUUUUUAGCACGCGGGUUGAUAUGCUCGAAAGGGACAUCAAGCCAUGGAGUAAUAAUAAAAAGAUUCCUAAAGAUUGGGGCAAUUUUUGAAAAUUUCAAAGCCAUGUAAGGACAAGAACCUAUGAUAGAGCUAAAGCUUUGAUGUUGGACAUAAGUCAGCCCUUCAAAAAACUUCAAAUCAUUCUGCUUCCAUGUCAACAAGUCUCGUGCGUUAGAGCCCUCUAGAUAACAAGCCAUUCUUGUUCAUCCAUUUUGCAACUUAGGCCAUCAUUUCCAGUUUAGGACUCCUGCUUAACCAUAUCAUGAAUUAAUCUAUCUAAUUACAUACUUUAUUA